UCAAAAAGGUAGUUUAACCUCGAAUCGGAGUUUAACUUUGGAUCGGCGGUUUAAGUCCGGAUCAAAAAGGUGGUUUAACUUUCUGUGACGUAAAUCUCGACUUAAAAUCGGCGAUUUUUUAAACCUGGUCUGGAGGUGGUUUAACUCGGUUUGUCGAGUGCAUUAGGAUUGCGGCGCUUGUCGUGUUGGAUGUUAUCGCUUACCGUACAAUCUAUAUUGUAUUCUGGGGCGACAAAUGGAGUAGCAGGGAGCUCUGUACAAGCGUCACGACGAAUAAAUAAUUGUAUACCUGUACCACGAGGCUGCGAUAUGUAGCAUUUGCGGUGGUACCUGUGCUGUACCGGUACCUACCGUACUACGCCUGAACAAAAGUAUUCACAACGUGGAUUUGGGCUAGUAAGAUAUUUAGAUCUACCAGUGCCCAAAAGAUUCCUCUUGGUUAUAUUUUGUGUAUGAGCUGAACUGAGAUUUACCUACGAUAUCCAUGUAUCACUACUGCACUGUACCCCGGUGUAUGUAUCUUGUCAUCGGCUAAUUCACAAGUCUGCAAGUUCCCGAAGUUGGAUAAAAAAAUAGGCUAGAAGCGAAUAGAUAGCAGCUGUUUCAAGUCAAGUAAACUGUCUGAGUGCCAUGAUGAUGAUCAAUUUCAUCAGCUCUAUUGGAAGAGCGAAUUUGUCAUGAAGACAAACAACUGUUAUGGAUAGGAUUAUAGUAAAAGUGUUGUCAAGUCAAGGUUGCAGCAGUGCUUUAUUCUACGCCUUUGUGUCCAACAAAUAUGUGGAACCCGGUUAACUUAAGCUUAACAAACAAAUAAUUCUUGCAAUAAUUCUAAAACAUUUGGAGGAAACAUAGUUAUGUCAAUUUUUCGUCACUUGGCGAGUCUUCCGCAGAAGAAAUAAAUAAAACCUUCAAAUAGCAACGAAAGCAACAACUAUGAUUGCACCUGUGUCUGUGUGCAUUACGUUGACACAUUCCUGUCUCAAAGCUGUAGAGCCAGGAUAAAAUUUAGCACCUCUUCCGAAUUGAUUCUAUGCUUUUCCAUUUCUUGAAUGUCAGUACAUUUUAGCAGUCAUUUGAACAAAUGAAUAUUAGUUAUUUUUGCAAUACAAAUUUUCAAAAUAAUAAAAUGUUAAAUAUGUAGAAGCCUGUGGCCCAGAACUUGCCAGGGAUAGGUUUUCAGCUGAAGUGUG